GUUAAUGUAGCUUAAACUACCAAAGCAAAGCACUGAAAAUGCUUAGACGGGUUAACUCAACCCCAUAAACA
rnacentral:tRNA from 3 species